AUUGAACGCUGGCGGAAUGCUUUACACAUGCAAGUCGAACGGCAGCACGGACUUCGGUCUGGUGGCGAGUGGCGAACGGGUGAGUAAUGUAUCGGAACGUGCCCAGUCGUGGGGGAUAACGUAGUGAAAAUUACGCUAAUACCGCAUACGAUCUAUGGAUGAAAGCGGGGGAUCGCAAGACCUCGCGCGAUUGGAGCGGCCGAUAGCAGAUUAGGUAGUUGGUGGGGUAAAGGCCCACCAAGCCAACGAUCUGUAGCUGGUCUGAGAGGACGACCAGCCACAGUGGAACUGGGACGCUGUCCAGACUCCUGCGGGAGGCAGCAGGGGGGAAUUUUGGACAAUGGGCGAAAGCCUGAUCCAGCCAUUCCGCGUGCAGGAUGAAGGCCCUCGGGUUGUAAACUGCUUUUGUACAGAACGAAAAGGUUUCUACUAAUACUAGGAGCUCAUGACGGUACUGUAAGAAUAAGCACCGGCUAACUACGUGCCAGCCGCCGCCGUAA
rnacentral:rRNA from 1 species